UACGUAGGUGACAAGCGUUGUCCGGAUUUACUGGGCGUAAAGAGCGCGCAGGCGGUCGAUCAAGUCGAGUGUGAAAGCCCCCGGCUCAACUGGGGAGGGUCAUUCGAUACUGAUCGACUCGAAGGCAGGAGAGGGUAGUGGAAUUCCCGGUGUAGUGGUGAAAUGCGUAGAUAUCGGGAGGAACACCAGUGGCGAAGGCGACUACCUGGCCCGUUCUUGACGCUGAGGCGCGAAAGCUAGGGGAGCAAACGGG
rnacentral:rRNA from 1 species